UACGUAGGGUGCGAGCGUUGUCCGGAAUUACUGGGCGUAAAGAGCUCGUAGGUGUUUGUCGCGUUGUUCGUGAAAUCUCACGGCUUAACUGUGAGCGUGCGGGCGAUACGGGCAGACUAGAGUACUGCAGGGGAGACUGGAAUUCCUGGUGUAGCGGUGAAAUGCGUAGAUAUCUGGAGGAACACCGGUGGCGAAGGCGGCAUCCUGGACCGACACUGACGCUGAGGCGCGAAAGCUAGGGUAGCAAACGGG
rnacentral:rRNA from 1 species